ACAGAGCGUGGCACCAACAACGUCAUCACCUACCGCAACGUCAAUUUGGUUCUCUUUUGAUGCAUUGGCGUUUGCUAACCGCGUGAGUCUAGAGCCAAAGCAACAAUUUUUCUUUUCGAACUUUAAUCGGUGCGUAUAGCGAUGCAUCGAAUUAGGUGAGGCCUCAUUAAGACUCGGCUCUUGUGUGUUUUGCGUGUUUUACGGUGAUGAACAACCUCUUUCUGAUCUCUUUCGUGACUCUACCGCGUCAUUUUGAGUGAUGAUUUAACAUUGAGACCUGACAGACGUCAAAUGCGGGUACAAACGUGCGUACGUAAUCUAUGAUGCGUGUUCUGUGUGGUACGCACUUACCAAAUGGUUUGGUUUGUACCUCCUGAAUACUUCCUAGAAAGUGCAUCGUCUAGGGAAUGUCUGACGUGAAGAGGAAGUCUUUAGACAAGUCUGGUGGUACUGAGAGAUAAACCAGUCACUCAGUGUUGCUGUACUGUGUUUACUUUUCCUUCAUGUCGUUUUCCAAAGUGCUCGUAGAUUCAGUGUUUGGCAAGAGUCCUGAGAUGUGUACAAAAAGAGAUCUUUGUAUGUUCUUACAACGACAUCGUACUAUUGCCAGUGACCUUGCUCUUUCAACAACUGGAACAAAGUCUAUUCUUAUUGAAAGAGUCACGAAGAUCCUCUGGUAAAGAGAAUUUUAGGUUAUACAAAAAUACCAACAUGGCUGCCUGCAAUAAGGUGGGGCCAAGAUAAUGAGGUAGUUGCUCGCUUAGUUUACCUUGAAAUGCAGCGUCGAAGAGGUCAUGCAGGAAUACAGGUAUCGGAAUGUGGAUUUUUUGUUGAUACAGAGCGUGGAUGGUUGGGAGCAUCACCAGAUGGUUUAAUCUAUGAUCCAAGUAACGUUGAUGACACAGAUGGUGUGCUUGAAAUCAAGUGUCCAUAUUCAAUGCGAACAAAAACGAUCUCUGAAGCUGCACAGAUGCCUGGCUUCUACUGUCAAUGGAAGGAUGGCCAGUUGCACUUGAAUAGAAGGCACAAGUAUUUCUACCAGGUGCAAGGUCAGAUGGCCAUAACAGGAAGGAACUGGUGUGACUUGUUGUAUGGACACAAUAUGACAUAUUUAUAGACCGAAUUAAGUAUAAACAUAAAUUUUGGUUACAGGAAUGCUUGCCUAAAUUAGAAAAUUUUUAUGACAAGUGUGUAUUAGCAGAAAUAGUUUCACCAAGGUUUCCACUUGGCUUGCCCAUGUUGGACCUUAGGUAGCAAGUAGAUAGAGUUCUGUUUGUACUAUUAAUGUUGUAAUGAUUGAAAAUGAAAUUGAACAGCAAGUGGUAGUGUGAUGUA